UCACACCAUUUCUGCAUAACUAUCAUCUAAACACACCACUUCACAAGUUCGUGUGUGUGGAGACUGAGGCUGAACUUCAGCUAAACGUCUUCGGUCACUCGUGCUGGUCGCGCGGCGAUCUACGCCUCUCCGUCCUCCAAACGAAACCCUAACCCGCGCAUCCAACCUCCAUCCAUCCUCCGAGCCCCAAACUCCAAACCCUAGACCCCUCCCCCUGCCUUCGCGGCCGAUGGGCGCAGAUGAGCAGCCAUCUCCGACGCGGAAACGCGACCGCGAGGAAGGGGAGGACCUCUCCGACGGGGGCGCCGCCGAGAAGCGGCCGCGCGCCGAGGUCGCGUCCCUGCUGGGGCUGGCCACCUACGAGGACGAGGAGGAAGACGAAGCGGCCAGGGGUCACACGAAUGGCCGACACGCGGUGGAGCCUGAGCUAGAGGACGACGAGGAUGAUGAUGAUGAGGACGACGACGUGAGGAGGGCUCCUGAGAGGAGGCCCAGACAGGUAGAGCUGCGCCGGGACUGCCCAUACCUCGACACCGUGAACAGACAGGUUCUUGAUUUUGAUUUCGAGAAGUUCUGUUCAAUCUCCUUGUCAAAUUUGAAUGUGUAUGCGUGCUUGGUCUGUGGAAAAUAUUUCCAAGGAAGAGGGUUGAAAUCUCAUGCAUAUACGCACAGCCUUGAAGCAGGCCAUCACGUGUUCAUUAAUCUUCAAACUGAGAAGGCUUACUGUCUUCCUGAUGGAUAUGAGAUUAAUGAUCCAUCGUUAGAAGAUAUUCGACAUGUUCUGAAUCCAAGGUUCACUAAGGAGCAGGUUCUAAAUCUUGACAAAAAUAAGCAGUGGUCUAGAGCACUUGAUGGCUCCAAUUAUCUACCUGGAAUGGUGGGUCUUAACAACAUCAAGGAGACUGAUUUUGUGAAUGUCACAAUACAGUCAUUAAUGAGAGUUACACCUCUGAGAAAUUUCUUUCUAAUCCCUGAAAACUAUCAGCAUAGCAAAUCACCAUUGGUUCAUCGUUUUGGGGAAUUGACACGUAAGAUUUGGCAUGCUAGGAACUUCAAGGGCCAGGUUAGUCCACAUGAAUUUCUGCAAGCAGUUAUGAAGGCCAGCGACAAAAAGUUUCAGAUUGGUGUACAGUCAGAUCCAGUGGAAUUUAUGACAUGGCUCUUAAACACACUGCAUGCGAAACUAAAAAGUUCAAAGAAGAAAAACAGAAGCAUAAUACACGAUUGUUUUCAGGGAGAACUUGAAGUUGUUAAGGAGGUUCAUAGGAAGCAUAUAAUGGAAAAAAGAGAGGAUGGCGGUGAGCUGAAUGGUGAGGCAGGUUCAGUGGUGGGAACUGCAGAUGGAAUUGUUACUGAAACAUCCAAGGUCCCAUUCCUGAUGCUCGGUCUUGACCUGCCACCUCCACCUCUUUUCAAAGACGCCAUGGAGAAAAAUAUCAUUCCACAGGUACCAUUGUUUAACAUACUGAAGAAGUUCGAUGGUGAGACAGUUACAGAGGUUGUCCGACCUUCCAUUGCCCGAAUGAGGUACCGAGUCACUAGACUGCCGAAGUAUCUGAUCCUUCAUAUGCGAAGGUUUACCAAAAAUAACUUUUUUGUCGAGAAAAACCCUACUCUAGUUAAUUUUCCUGUGAAGAACUUGGAGUUGAAGGACUACAUUCCAUUACCUAAGCCGAAAGAGAAUCAUAAGCUACGUUCAAAGUAUGACCUCAUAGCAAACAUUGUCCAUGAUGGCAAACCUGGCGAGGGAUGCUACAGAGUAUUUGUACAGCGGAAAUCAGAAGAGGCCUGGUAUGAGAUGCAGGAUCUCCAUGUUACUGAGACCCUUCCUCAAAUGGUUGCUCUCUCAGAAACCUACAUGCAAAUAUACGAGCAACACGAAUGAGUAAUGGACAGUGGUCAUCCUAUGGUCAGUCUGUUUGCUUAACAGAGAUCAGAAUAUCACAAACUAAUCCUUAUCUUUGGAGCAGCUUUUUUUGGGGCAGAAUUUUGUAGUAUCUUCACACAUGUCCAGACUUAAUUUCUUGACAAGCAGAGAUCGAGGGAAUGUACUUGGGUCAUCAAGUCAAUGCUAUGGAGGCUGAAACAUCGUGAAUUGUUUUUAGAGCUGCUUUGAUAGAGGAACGAUUUCCCACAUAUUUCAUGUUUGUAGUGCAGCACUGCAGCCUGUAUCUGUUGUGAACCGGUAGAGCAGGGUUCCAGCUGUAUGGUUUAGUAUUGCUUUUCGAAGCCUUGAGUUUGUUUCUGUACAGGACCGGCAAAUCACAGUUUCAAACAAUUGCGGCAGGGUGGUUCUGGUCCAGUUGUUUCAAAUUAGCUUAUCCACCGAUCAAAUUUUGAGCAUUACCAAAGCAAUUAAAGACGUAUUAGUUGACUGA